GGCCUGGUGGUGUAGUGGGAACACAACCUCUUAAUUUACAUGAUUGUUUCUACGAUGUUUGAGGGAAACCCCUGUUCGAUUUGGGGCUAGGCCA